rnacentral:rRNA from 1 species
CGUGAGUAACCUAGCCUUCGGAGUGGGGAAGUAACACAGAGAAAUUUAGUUGCUAAUACCGCAUAAUGCAGCUGAGUCGCAUGGCUCUGGCUGCCAAAGAUUUAUCGCUCUGAGAUGGACUCGCGUCUGAUUAGCUAGUUGGCGGGGUAACGGCCCACCAAGGCGACGAUCAGUAGCCGGACUGAGAGGUUGGCCGGCCACAUUGGGACUGAGACACGGCCCAGACUCCUACGGAAGGCAGCAG